rnacentral:piRNA from 1 species
UGUAUAGGCAGGUGUGUGCAUGCACAGAUA